rfam:Papillibacter cinnamivorans DSM 12816 genome assembly, contig: EJ70DRAFT_scaffold00004.4
AUAAUGAUACUUCCGUAUAGUCACAGUCCGAGCGUGAUCAAACCGUCGCAGGCAAUGAGUACGGCCCGCCAUCAGAAUGGAGGGAGGUGAAAGUCCUAUGA